UUUUGGUCAAAGUUGGUGGAAACUUGAAGUUUGCGACCAAAGUUGAUGUUUUCGGUCAAAGUUGAUGUUUUCGGUCAAAGUUGGUGGAAACUGGAAGUUUGCAACCAAAGAUGAUGAUUUCGGUCAAAGUUGAUGUUUUUGGUCAAAGUUGGUGGAAACUAGAAGUUUGCAACCAAAGAUGAUGAUUUCGGUCAAAGUAGAUGUUUUUGGUCAAAGUUGGUGGAAACUGGAAGUUUGCAACCAAAGUUGAUGAUUUCGGUCUAAGGAGAUUUUUUAGGUCAAAGUUGGUGGAAACUCGAGGUUUGCGACCAAAGUUGAUGUUUUCGGUCAAAGUAGAUGUUUUUGGUCAAAGUUGGUGGAAACUCGAGGUUUGCGACCAAAGUUGAUGUUUUCGGUCAAAGUAGAUGUUUUUGGUCAAAGUUGGUGGAAACUUGAAGUUUGCAACCAAAGAUGAUGAUUUCGGUCAAAGUUGAUGUUUUUGGUCAAAGUUGGUGUAAACUGGAAGUUUGCAACCAAAGAUGAUGAUUUCGGUCAAAGUUGAUGUUUUUGGUCAAAGUUGGUGGAAACUCGAGGUUUGCAACCAAAGUUGAUGUUUUCGGUCAAAGUAGAUGUUUUUGGUCAAAGUUUGUGGAAACUGGAAGUUUGCAACCAAAGAUGAUGAUUUCGGUCAAAGUAGAUGUUUUUGGUCAAAGUUGGUAGAAACUCGAGGUUUGCAACCAAAGUUGAUGAUUUCGGUCAAAGUUGAUGUUUUUGGUCAAAGUUUGUGGAAACUGGAAGUUUGCAACCAAAGAUGAUGAUUUCGGUCAAAGUUGAUGUUUUUGGUCAAAGUUGGUGGAAACUGGAAGUUUGCAACCAAAGAUGAUGAUUUCGGUCAAAGUAGAUGGUUUUGGUCAAAGUUGGUGGAAACUGUAAGUUUGCAACCAAAGAUGAUGAUUUCGGUCAAAGUUGAUGUUUUUGGUCAAAGUUGGUGGAAACUGGAAGUUUGCAACCAAAGAUGAUGAUUUCGGUCAAAGUAGAUGUUUUUGGUCAAAGUUGGUGGAAACUGGAAGUUUGCGACCAAAGAUGAUGUUUUCGGUCAAAGUUGAUGUUUUUGGUCAAAGUUGGUGGAAACUGGAAGUUUGCAACCAAAGAUGAUGAUUUCGGUCAAAGUAGAUGUUUUUGGUCAAAGUUGGUGGAAACUGGAAGUUUGCAACCAAAGAUGAUGAUUUCGGUCAAAGUAGAUGUUUUUGGUCAAAGUUGGUGGAAACUCGAGGUUUGCGACUAAAGCUGAUGCUUUCGGUCAAAGUAGAUGUUUUUGGUCAAAGUUGGUGGAAACUGGAAGGUUUCGAAAAAAAGUUGAUGUUUUCGGUCAAAGUAGAUGUUUUUGGUCAAAGUUGGUCGAAACUGGAAGGUUGCAACCAAAGAUGAUGAUUUCGGUCAAAGUAGAUGUUUUUGGUCAAAGUUGGUGAAAACUGGAAGUUUGCAACCAAAGAUGAUGAUUUCGGUCAAAGUAGAUGUUUUUGGUCAAAGUUGGUGGAAACUGGAAGUUUGCGACCAAAGAUGAUGAUUUCGGUCAAAGUUGAUGUUUUUGGUCAAAGUUGGUGGAAACUGUAAGUUUGCAACCAAAGUUGAAGUUUUCGGUCAAAGUUGAUGUUUUUGGUCAAAGUUGGUGGAAACUGGAAGUUUGCGACCAAAGAUGAUGAUUUCGGUCAAAGUAGAUAUUUUUGGUCAAAGUUGGUAGAAACUUGAAGUUUGCGACCAAAGUUGAUGUUUUCGGUCAAAGUUGAUGUUUUUGGUCAAAGUUUGUGGAAACUGGAAGUUUGCAACCAAAGAUGAUGAUUUCGGUCAAAGUUGAUGUUUUUGGUCAAAGUUGGUGGAAACUGGAAGUUUGCAACCAAAGAUGAUGUUUUCGGUCAAAGUUGAUGUUUUUGGUCAAAGUUGGUGGAAACUGGAAGUUUGCAACCAAAGAUGAUGAUUUCGGUCAAAGUAGAUGUUUUUGGUCAAAGUUGGUGGAAACUGGAAGUUUGCAACCAAAGAUGAUGAUUUCGGUCAAAGUUGAUGUUUUUGGUCAAAGUUGGUGGAAACUGGAAGUUUGCAACCAAAGAUGAUGAUUUCGGUCAAAGUAGAUGUUUUUGGUCAAAGUUGGUGGAAACUGGAAGUUUGCAACCAAAGAUGAUGAUUUCGGUCAAAGUUGAUGUUUUUGGUCAAAGUUGGUAGAAACUGGAAGUUUGCAACCAAAGAUGAUGAUUUCGGUCAAAGUAGAUGUUUUUGGUCAAAGUUGGUAGAAACUUGAAGUUUGCGACCAAAGUUGAUGAUUUCGGUCAAAGUUGAUGUUUUUGGUCAAAGUUGGUGGAAACUGGAAGUUUGCAACCAAAGAUGAUGAUUUCGGUCAAAGUAGAUGUUUUUGGUCAAAGUUGGUAGAAACUUGAAGUUUGCGACUAAAGUUGAUGUUUUCGGUCAAAGUAGAUGUUUUUGGUCAAAGUCGGUGGAAACUGGAAGUUUGCAACCAAAGAUGAUGUUUUCGGUCAAAGUUGAUGUUUUUGGUCAAAGUUGGUGGAAACUGGAAGUUUGCAACCAAAGAUGAUGUUUUCGGUCAAAGUUGAUGUUUUUGGUCAAAGUUGGUGGAAACUGGAAGUUUGCAACCAAAGAUGAUGAUUUCGGUCAAAGUAGAUGUUUUUGGUCAAAGUUGGUAGAAACUUGAAGUUUGCGACUAAAGUUGAUGUUUUCGGUCAAAGUAGAUGUUUUUGGUCAAAGUCGGUGGAAACUGGAAGUUUGCAACCAAAGAUGAUGAUUUCGGUCAAAGUAGAUGUUUUUGGUCAAAGUUGGUGGAAACUGGAAGUUUGCAACCAAAGAUGAUGAUUAAGGUCAAAGUAGAUGUUUUUGGUCAAAGUUGGUGGAAACUGGGAGUUUGCAACCAAAGAUGAUGAUUUCGGUCAAAGUAGAUGUUUUUGGUCAAAUUUGGAGGAAACUGGAAGUUUGCAACCAAAGAUGAUGAUUUCGGUCAAAGUUGAUGUUUUUGGUCAAAGUUGGUGGAAACUCGAGGUUUGCGACUAAAGUUGAUGUUUUCGGUCAAAGUUGAUGUUUUUGGUCAAAGUUGGUGGAAACUGGAAGUUUGCCACCAAAGAUGAUGAUUUCGGUCAAAGUAGAUGUUUUUGGUCAAAGUUGGUGGAAACUCGAGGUUUGCGACUAAAGUUGAUGUUUUCGGUCAAAGUUGAUGUUUUUGGUCAAAGUUGGUGGAAACUCGAGGUUUGCGACUAAAGUUGAUGUUUUCGGUCAAAGUAGAUGUUUUUGGUCAAAGUUGGUGGAAACUGGAAGUUUGCAACCAAAGAUGAUGAUUUCGGUCAAAGUAGAUGUUUUUGGUCAAAGUUGGUGGAAACUGGAAGUUUGCAACCAAAGAUGAUGAUUUCGGUCAAAGUUGAUGUUUUUGGUCAAAGUUGGUGGAAACUGGAAGUUUGCAACCAAAGAUGAUGCUUUCGGUCAAAGUUGAUGUUUUUGGUCAAAGUUGGUGGAAACUUGAAGUUUGCGACCAAAGUUGAUGUUUUCGGUCAAAGUUGUUGUUUUUGGUCAAAGUUGGUGGAAACUUGAAGUUUGCGACCAAAGUUGAUGAUUUCGGUCAAAGUUGAUGUUUUUGGUCAAAGUUGGUGGAAACUGGAAGUUUGCAACCAAAGAUGAUGAUUUCGGUCAAAGUUGAUGUUUUCGGUCAAAGUUGGUGGAAACUGGAAGUUUGCAACCAAAGAUGAUGAUUUCGGUCAAAGUAGAUGUUUUUGGUCAAAGUUGGUGGAAACUGGAAGUUUGCAACCAAAGAUGAUGAUUUCGAUCAAAGUAGAUGUUUUUGCUCAAAGUUGGUGGAAACUGGAAGUUUGCAACCAAAGAUGAUGAUUUCGGUCAAAGUAGAUGUUUUAGGUCAAAGUUGGUGGAAACUGGAAGUUUGCGACCAAAGUUGAUGAUUUCGGUCAAAGUUGAUGUUUUUGGUCAAAGUUGGUGGAAACUUGAAGUUUGCGACCAAAGAUGAUGAUUUCGGUCAAAGUUGGUGGAAACUGGAAGUUUGCAACCAAAGAUGAUGAUUUCGGUCAAAGUAGCUGUUUUUGGUCAAAGUUGGUGGAAACUGGAAGUUUGCAACCAAAGAUGAUGAUUUCGGUCAAAGUUGAUGUUUUUGGUCAAAGUUGGUGGAAACUGGAAGUUUGCAACCAAAGAUGAUGAUUUCGGUCAAAGUUGAUGUUUUUGGUCAAAGUUGGUGGAAACUUGAAGUUUGCGACCAAAGUUGAUGUUUUCGGUCAAAGUUGAUGUUUUCGGUCAAAGUUGGUGGAAACUGGAAGUUUGCAACCAAAGUUGAUGUUUUCGGUCAAAGUUGAUGUUUUCGGUCAAAGUUGGUGGAAACUGGAAGUUUGCAACCAAAGAUGAUGAUUUCGGUCAAAGUAGAUGUUUUUGGUCAAAGUUGGUGGAAACUCGAGGUUUGCGACUAAAGUUGAUGUUUUCGGUCAAAGUUGAUGUUUUUGGUCAAAGUUGGUGGAAACUCGAGGUUUGCGACUAAAGUUGAUGUUUUCGGUCAAAGUAGAUGUUUUUGGUCAAAGUUGGUGGAAACUGGAAGUUUGCAACCAAAGAUGAUGAUUUCGGUCAAAGUAGAUGUUUUUGGUCAAAGUUGGUGGAAACUGGAAGUUUGCAACCAAAGAUGAUGAUUUCGGUCAAAGUUGAUGUUUUUGGUCAAAGUUGGUGGAAACUGGAAGUUUGCAACCAAAGAUGAUGCUUUCGGUCAAAGUUGAUGUUUUUGGUCAAAGUUGGUGGAAACUUGAAGUUUGCGACCAAAGUUGAUGUUUUCGGUCAAAGUUGUUGUUUUUGGUCAAAGUUGGUGGAAACUUGAAGUUUGCGACCAAAGUUGAUGAUUUCGGUCAAAGUUGAUGUUUUUGGUCAAAGUUGGUGGAAACUGGAAGUUUGCAACCAAAGAUGAUGAUUUCGGUCAAAGUUGAUGUUUUCGGUCAAAGUUGGUGGAAACUGGAAGUUUGCAACCAAAGAUGAUGAUUUCGGUCAAAGUAGAUGUUUUUGGUCAAAGUUGGUGGAAACUGGAAGUUUGCAACCAAAGAUGAUGAUUUCGAUCAAAGUAGAUGUUUUUGCUCAAAGUUGGUGGAAACUGGAAGUUUGCGACCAAAGUUGAUGAUUUCGGUCAAAGUUGAUGUUUUUGGUCAAAGUUGGUGGAAACUCGAGGUUUGCGACUAAAGUUGAUGUUUUUGGUCAAAGUUGGUGGAAACUGGAAGUUUGCAACCAAAGAUGAUGAUUUCGGUCAAAGUAGAUGGUUUUGGUCAAAGUUGGUGGAAACUGGAAGUUUGCAACCAAAGAUGAUGAUUUCGGUCAAAGUUGAUGUUUUUGGUCAAAGUUGGUGGAAACUGGAAGUUUGCAACCAAAGAUGAUGAUUUCGGUCAAAGUUGAUGUUUUUGGUCAAAGUUGGUGGAAACUUGAAGUUUGCGACCAAAGAUGAUGAUUUCGGUCAAAGUUGAUGUUUUCGGUCAAAGUUGGUGGAAACUCGAGGUUUGCGACCAAAGUUGAUGUUUUCGGUCAAAGUUGAUGUUUUCGGUCAAAGUUGGUGGAAACUGGAAGUUUGCAACCAAAGAUGAUGAUUUCGGUCAAAGUAGAUGUUUUUGGUCAAAGUUGGUGGAAACUCGAGGUUUGCGACUAAAGUUGAUGUUUUCGGUCAAAGUUGAUGUUUUUGGUCAAAGUUGGUGGAAACUGGAAGUUUGCAACCAAAGAUGAUGAUUUCGGUCAAGGUAGAUGUUUUUGGUCAAAGUUGGAGGAAACUGGAAGUUUGCAACCAAAGAUGAUGUUUUUGGUCAAAGUUGAUGUUUUUGGUCAAAGUUGGUGGAAACUUUAAGUUUGCAACCAAAGAUGAUGAUUUCGGUCAAAGUUGAUGUUUUUGGUCAAAGUUGGUGGAAACUGGAAGUUUGCAACCAAAGAUGAUGUUUUCGGUCAAAGUAGAUGUUUUUGGUCAAAGUUGGUGGAAACUCGAGGUUUGCAACCAAAGAUGAUGAUUUCGGUCAAAGUAGAUGUUUUUGGUCUAAGUUGGUGGAAACUGGAAGUUAGCAACCAAAGAUGAUGAUUUCGGUCAAAGUUGAUGAUUUCGGUCAAAGUUGAUGUUUUUGGUCAAAGUUGGUGGAAACUGGAAGUUUGCAACCAAAGAUGAUGAUUUCGGUCAAAGUUGAUGUUUUUGGUCAAAGUUGGUGGAAACUUGAAGUUUGCUACCAAAGAUGAUGAUUUCGGUCAAAGUAGAUGUUUUUGGUCAAAGUUGGUGGAAACUGGAAGUUUGCGACCAAAGUUGAUGUUUUCGGUCAAAGUUGAUGUUUUUGGUCAAAGUUGGUGGAAACUGGAAGUUUGCAACCAAAGAUGAUGAUUUCGGUCAAAGUAGAUGUUUUUGGUCAAAGUUGGUGGAAACUUUAAGUUUGCAACCAAAGAUGAUGAUUUCGGUCAAAGUUGAUGUUUUUGGUCUAAGUUGGUGGAAACUGGAAGUUUGCAACCAAAGAUGAUGAUUUCGGUCAAAGUAGAUGUUUUUUGAUCAAAGUUGGUGGAAACUGGAAGUUUGCGACCAAAGUGGAUGUUUUUGGUCAAAGUUGAUGUUUUUGGUCAAAGUUGGUGGAAACUGGAAGUUUGCAACCAAAGAUGAUGAUUUCGGUCAAAGUUGAUGUUUUUGGUCAAAGUUGGUGGAAACUGGAAGUUUGCAACCAAAGAUGAUGAUUUCGGUCAAAGUUGAUGUUUUUGGUCAAAGUUGAUGGAAACUGGAAGUUUGCAACCAAAGAUGAUGAUUUCGGUCAAAGUAGAUGUUUUUAUCAAAGUUGGUAGAAACUUGAAGUUUGCGACCAAAGUUGAUGUUUUUGGUCAAAGUAGAUGUUUUUGGUUAAAGUUGGUGGAAACUGGAAGUUUGCAACCAAAGAUGAUGAUUUCGGUCAAAGUUGAUGUUUUUGGUCAAAGUUGGUGGAAACUCGAGGUUUGCGACUAAAGUUGAUGUUUUCGGUCAAAGUUGAUGUUUUUGGUCAAAGUUGGUGGAAACUGGAAGUUUGCAACCAAAGAUGAUGAUUUCGGUCAAAGUAGAUGUUUUUGGUCAAAGUUGGUAGAAACUUGAAGUUUGCGACCAAGGUUGAUGUUUUUGGUCAAAGUAGAUGUUUUUGGUCAAAGUUGGUGGAAACUGGAAGUUUGCAACCAAAGAUGAUGAUUUCGGUCAAAGUUGAUGUUUUUGGUCAAAGUUGGUGGAAACUCGAGGUUUGCGACUAAAGUUUAUGUUUUCGGUCAAAGUUAUGUUUUUGGUCAAAGUUGGUGGAAACUGGAAGUUUGCAACCAAAGAUGAUGAUUUCGGUCAAAGUAGAUGUUUUUGGUCAAAGUUGGAGGAAACUGGAAGUUUGCAACCAAAGAUGAUGUUUUUGGUCAAAGUUGAUGUUUUUGGUCAUAGUUGGUGGAAACUGGAAGUUUUCAACGAAAGAUGAUGAUUUCGGUCAAAGUAGAUGUUUUUGGUCAAAGUUGGUGGAAACUUUAAGUUUGCAACCAAAGAUGAUGAUUUCGGUCAAAGUAGAUGUUUUUGGUCAAAGUUGGAGGAAACUGGAAGUUUGCAACCAAAGAUGAUGUUUUUGGUCAAAGUUGAUGUUUUUGGUCAAAGUUGGUGGAAACUGGAAGUUUGCAACCAAAGAUGAUGAUUUCGGUCAAAGUUGAUGUUUUUGGUCAAAGUUGGUGGAAACUCGAGGUUUGCGACCAAAGUUGAUGUUUUCGGUCAAAGUAGAUGUUUUUGGUCAAAGUUGGUGGAAACUGGAAGUUUGCAACCAAAGAUGAUGAUUUCGGUCAAAGUUGAUGUUUUUGGUCAAAGUUGGUGGAAACUCGAGGUUUGCGACCAAAGAUGAUAUUUUCGGUCAAAGUAGAUGUUUUUGGUCAAAGUUGGUGGAAACUGGAAGUUUGCAACCAAAGAUGAUGAUUUCGGUCAAAGUAGAUGUUUUUGGUCAAAGUUGGUGGAAACUCGAGUUUUGCGACCAAAGAUGAUAUUUUCGGUCAAAGUAGAUGUUU